UUGGCAUACAUUGUUCCUGAACUGGUGAGA
rnacentral:piRNA from 1 species